GCCUGAUUAGCAUAGUGGCUAAUGCGUUGCACUUGUACGGACCCCCAUCAGGGUCGCCUCGACGACAUGCAAAGAUCACAGGUUCGAUUCCUGUAUUAGGCA